UCUUUCUGUCACCAAGAACCAUACCACAUUCAAAAUCACUUAAAUCCCCCUUUUUCCCCAUUCUGAUGCUUGGUUUGAACUUCAGCAAGUCAUCUUCAUGACAUC